CUAAAUUCAGCACCAAGACCGGUGGAGAUAAUUGGAAAUCUUGCUUCUAUUGAGAAAGCAGAGAAGCUUAUCCAUGAAGUUAUAGCUCAGUCUGAAGGAGAAGGUAUACCUGCCCUUUUUGUAAGAGGGGCCCCAGAACAAAUAUAGAUCAAAGUUCCAAAAGAUGGUUGGUGUGAUCAUUGGCCGGGGAGACUAUCAAGAACAUGCAGACAAAGUCGAG